rnacentral:lncRNA from 1 species
UUUUGUAAUCUGUUAAAAUUACCAGCCACAAUAUGCCACAAAACAGUAAAAUGAAAAAUUCCAAUCUCCGCUCGGAAAAAUUAAGAAGACAAGCUGCUCAUAGGUUUCAAUUAUACGUCCAAAUAGUUAAAUCGAAGCUUAUUCCAUCAUUAAGUGAUUUACACAGGUGGCUGUAGUUUGGUUUGUCACCAGAAAACAAUAGCAGCCAUGAAAAUUAAUUCAUAAAAAAUGAAAACCGUUAAGAGAUCUUAAAAAAAAUAAAGGAAAGAAACAAGAUAGGAAAAAAGAAGAAGAUUUGAGAAAAUUUAAGAGAACCAUACCUUGAAUCGUAACAGACAGAUGAGAAAAUACAGGAGCAUCGAGUAUUUCUUAAUGUCUGAAAAAGAAGAACCAAAAGGAUACGCCCAAGUUCGAUUGGAACGGAAGGAGUUCUGAAGACGCGCAUUGUUAAAAGCACUUUUAUGGCAAAGUAUAAUGACAAUUCUACCCUUGGUCUAGAAACAAACUCAGGUGAACUCUUUGAGUUCUCCUUCUUCAAAAUUUGAAGAAAACCAUUUCGGAUAUGAUUCUCUCACUGCUUUUGCUCCAAUCUUUUUCUUUUUUUCUCUGUCUUCUCUUCUUCUUUUUCUGUUUUGAGAUCUCUUAACAAUUUCCUAUUUUAUGAGUGAAUUUUCUUUACUGUAAUUAUUCUACUGCGACAUAAUAUUCUUUAUUUUUGCAACCAGAAAUUGGUACUUUC